rnacentral:rRNA from 1 species
AACUCUGACCAGCCAUACCGCGUGCAGGAAGAAUGCCCUAUGGGUUGUAAACUGCUUUUAUUUGGGAAGAACCCUAUCUACGUGUAGAUAGCUGACGGUACCAAACGAAUAAGGACCGGCUAACUCCGUGCCAGCAGCCGCGGUAAUACGGAGGGUCCAAGCGUUAUCCGGAAUUAUUGGGUUUAAAGGGUCCGCAGGCGGAAUUAUAAGUCAGUGGUGAAAUCUCGAUGCUCAACAUCGAAACUGCCAUUGAUACUGUAGUUCUUGAAUAUAGUCGGAGUAGGCGGAAUGUGUAGUGUAGCGGUGAAAUGCUUAGAUAUUACACAGAACACCGAUAGCGAAGGCAGCUUACUAGGUUAUAAUUGACGCUCAUGGACGAAAGCGUGGGUAGCGAACAGGAUUAGAUACCCUGGUAGUCCACGCCGUAAACGAUGAUUACUCGUUAUUGGCGAUAUACAGUCAGUGACUAAGCGAAAGUGAUAAGUAAUCCACCUGGGGAGUACGAUCGCAAG